rnacentral:rRNA from 1 species
AUUGAACGCUGGCGGCAUGCCUUACACAUGCAAGUCGAACGGCAGCACGGGUGCUUGCACCUGGUGGCGAGUGGCGAACGGGUGAGUAAUAUAUCGGAACGUGCCCUAGAGUGGGGGAUAACUAGUCGAAAGAUUAGCUAAUACCGCAUACGAUCUACGGAUGAAAGUGGGGGAUCGCAAGACCUCAUGCUCUUGGAGUGGCCGAUAUCUGAUUAGCUAGUUGGUGGGGUAAGAGCUCACCAAGGCGACGAUCAGCAGCUGGUCUGAGAGGACGACCAGCCACACUGGAACUGAGACACGGUCCAGACUCCUGCGGGAGGCAGCAGUGGGGAAUUUUGGACAAUGGGGGCAACCCUGAUCCAGCAAUGCCGCGUGAGUGAAGAAGGCCUUCGGGUUGUAAAGCUCUUUUGUCAGGGAAGAAACGGUGAGAGCUAAUAUCUCUUGCUAAUGACGGUACCUGAAGAAUAAGCACCGGCUAACUACGUGCCAGCCGCCGCAGUAA